CGAUUUGUUGCCUGUUUCCAUCCCUUUUGGGUUACUCGAGUGAACUGCAGCACAUAGCAUAUCAUAAGAAGAGAUAACACCACUCCUAUGCUUCAAUAAAGAGCUAGUUUGAUAGCGGUUUGCCAUGUAGGUGUGUAUUAUUACUAUUACCAGACACCUGCUCGAUUUACACCAAAUAUGUACGUAGGUACUCUGAUUUUUACAUAACUACUAAUCCUAUAACCAACAUAAGAUGUGUCACUUUGGCACAGGUUAAAUUCUGUGUUUAAGAGAAAGGGGCUGGUGUUAGUGUCAGCCCAUGGCUUAAUUUUGUGUCUUUGUAGGGGUCUACUCUGUUCUGGAGGGAUAAACAAGUAUUAAUGUGGGGGACAGCUGAAUUGCUAUCACUGAGAACAACCUUAUCAAGAGUCCCUUCUUCUGGUCAUGUUUGUGACUAUUUUAGACCUGCUGGACAUCCUGUUUAAUUAAU